rnacentral:lncRNA from 1 species
GAGAACCUGCUCUGCAUUCACCCCAAAAGGUAUUCUUUAAAUUAAAGAAGAGGCAGACUUCUUAGCAGAGCUUGGUUAUUCAUCAAUAUUAUUAGAUUCUCCCUUCCCUCUCCUGAUGCUAGGAAUAGAAACCUCUGAAAUUACUGUGGAGGAUGAGCUCUGAAAACAAAGCACCGGGGGCAGACACCUGGCUGCUGUACAGCUGUUUGCAGAUGCUGCAUUCCAAAAAGGUCAGGGGAGUUCAGGCAGCCACAGAAACCUCUGCACUGGCCAGUGCCUGUGCCUGGGCUCUGUGAGCUCU